rnacentral:tRNA from 1 species
GCCAGUUUGGCUCAGUGGAUAGAGUGUCAGCCUGUGGACUGAAGGGUGCCAGGUUCAAUUCUGGUCAUGGGCA